rnacentral:rRNA from 1 species
ACUCCUACGGGAGGCAGCAGUAGGGAAUUUUCCGCAAUGGACGAAAGUCUGACGGAGCAAUGCCGCGUGAGUGAUGAAGGUUUUCGAAUCGUAAAGCUCUGUUGUAAGGGAAGAAUAGCAAGGAUAGGAAAUGCUCCUUGUCUGACGGUACCUUACCAGAAAGCCACGGCUAACUACGUGCCAGCAGCCGCGGUAAUACGGAGGGUGCAAGCGUUACUCGGAAUCACUGGGCGUAAAGAGCGUGUAGGCGGGUUAUUAAGUCAGAAGUGAAAUCCUAUGGCUCAACCAUAGAACUGCUUUUUGAAACUGGUAACCUAGAGUAUGGGAGAGGGUAGAUGGAAUUUCUGGUGUAGGGGUAAAAUCCAGUAGAGAUCAGAAGGAAUACCGAUUGCGAAGGCGAUCUACUGGAACAUUACUGACGCUGAGACGCGAAAGCGUGGGGGAGCAAACAGGAUUAGAUACCCUGGUAGACUGUCAU